CCUGGAUUUAGGGUCAUUGGCAGAAAUGAUAUCUCAUGAUAAAAGGUUUGGACCUAGAAGCAGAGCAGCGAUGGGGGAGCCCCAGUCCCAGUACGAAUCACUUCAGGCAAGAUUGAAGGCAAUGGCAGCUUCUAACUCCGCCCAGAAGUUCAGUCUGAAAAUAUCUGAUGCUGCUUUGAAUUCCUCCAUCCCAGAAGGAGCAGCUGGA
rnacentral:misc_RNA from 1 species